rnacentral:rRNA from 1 species
CCGGCCCCUAAGACGAGCCCGAAGGGGGUAGUCGAUGGGAACCACGUUAAUAUUCGUGGGCCUGGUGGUGUGUGACGGAUGGCGUGUGUUGUACGAUCUUAUCGGAUUGAUCGUGCUUCGAAGCUGUCCCGGGAAAUAGCCCCACCGUAUAGACCGUACCCGAAACCGACACAGGUGGUCAGGUAGAGUAUACCAAGGCGCUUGAGAGAAG